rnacentral:rRNA from 1 species
AGAGCGAACGCUGGCGGCAGGCCUAACACAUGCAAGUCGAGCGCGUGUAGCAAUACACGAGCGGCAGACGGGAGAGUAACACGUGGGAACGCGCCCUUCGGUUCGGAAUAACUCAGGGAAACUUGAGCUAAUACCGGAUACGCCCUUACGGGGAAAGAUUUAUUGCCGAAGGAACGGCCCGCGUCCGAUUAGCUAGUUGGUGAGGUAACGGCUCACCAAGGCGACGAUCGGUAGCUGGUCUGAGAGGAUGACCAGCCUCACUGGGACUGAGACACGGCCCAGACUCCUACGGGAGGCAGCAGUGGGGAAUAUUGGACAAUGGGCGCAAGCCUGAUCCAGCCAUGCCGCGUGGAUGAUGAAGGCCUUAGGGUUGUAAAGUCCUUUUAACGAGGAAGAUAAUGACGGUACCCGUAGAAUAAGCCCGGCUAACUUCGUGCCAGCAGCCGC